GAUGAACGCUGGCGGCGUGCCUAAUACAUGCAAGUCGAGCGAACCACUUCGGUGGUGAGCGGCGAACGGGUGAGUAACACGUAGGUGAUCUGCCCAUCAGACGGGGACAACGAUUGGAAACGAUCGCUAAUACCGGAUAGGACGAAAGUUUAAAGGUGCUUCUGGCACCGCUGAUGGAUGAGCCCGCGGCGCAUUAGCUAGUUGGUAGGGUAAAGGCCUACCAAGGCGACGAUGCGUAGCCGACCUGAGAGGGUGAACGGCCACACUGGGACUGAGACACGGCCCAGACUCCUACGGGAGGCAGCAGUAGGGAAUCUUCGGCAAUGGGCGAAAGCCUGACCGAGCAACGCCGCGUGAAUGAUGAAGGCCUCGGGUUGU
rnacentral:rRNA from 1 species